ACUCCUACGGGAGGCAGCAGUGGGGAAUUUUGGACAAUGGGCGAAAGCCUGAUCCAGCAAUGCCGCGUGCAGGAUGAAGGACUUCGGGUUGUAAACUGCCUUUGUACGGAACGAAAAAGCUCCUUCUAAUACAGGGGGCCCAUGACGGUACCGUAAGAAUAAGCACCGGCUAACUACGUGCCAGCAGCCGCGGUAAUACGUAGGGUGCGAGCGUUAAUCGGAAUUACUGGGCGUAAAGCGUGCGCAGGCGGUUAUGUAAGACAGAUGUGAAAUCCCCGGGCUCAACCUGGGAACUGCAUUUGUGACUGCAUGGCUAGAGUACGGUAGAGGGGGAUGGAAUUCCGCGUGUAGCAGUGAAAUGCGUAGAUAUGCGGAGGAACACCGAUGGCGAAGGCAAUCCCCUGGACCUGUACUGACGCUCAUGCACGAAAGCGUGGGGAGCAAACAGGAUUAGAAACCCCAGUAGUCCCAUGAU
rnacentral:rRNA from 1 species